rnacentral:rRNA from 1 species
CGUCAAAUCAGCACGGCCCUUACGUCCGGGGCGACACACGUGUUACAAUGGGGGGUACAGAGGGCUGCUACCGGGCGACCGGAUGCCAAUCUCGAAAGCCCCUCUCAGUUCGGAUCGGAGUCUGCAACUCGACUCCGUGAAGUUGGAUUCGCUAGUAAUCGCGCAUCAGCCAUGGCGCGGUGAAUACGUUCCCGGGCCUU